GUGGGGAAUAUUGGGCAAUGGGCGAAAGCCUGACCCAGCAACGCCGCGUGAGGGAAGAAGGUUUUCGGAUUGUAAACCUCUGUCCUCAGGGAAGAAAAAAAUGACGGUACCUGAGGAGGAAGCCCCGGCUAACUACGUGCCAGCAGCCGCGGUAAUACGUAGGGGGCGAGCGUUGUCCGGAAUGACUGGGCGUAAAGGGCGCGUAGGCGGCUCCGUAAGUCCGGAGUGAAAGUCCAGCUUUUAAGGUUGGAAUUGCUUUGGAAACUGUGGGGCUUGAGUGCGGAAGAGGUAAGUGGAAUUCCCAGUGUAGCGGUGAAAUGCGUAGAGAUUGGGAGGAACACCAGUGGCGAAGGCGACUUUCUGGACGAUGUCUGACGCUGAGGCGCGAAAGCUAGGGGAGCGAACGGGAUUAGAAACCCCUGUAGUCC
rnacentral:rRNA from 1 species